UACGGAGGGUGCAAGCGUUAUUCGGAUUCACUGGGCGUAAAGGGUGCGCAGGCGGCCGAGUGUGUGAGGCGUGAAAGCCCGGGGCUUAACCCCGGAAUUGCACCUCAAACUACACGGCUAGAGCAUUGGAGAGGGUAGCAGAAUUCAUGGUGUAGCAGUGAAAUGCGUAGAUAUCAUGAGGAAUACCAGAGGCGAAGGCGGCUACCUGGACAAUUGCUGACGCUCAGGCACGAAAGCGUGGGGAGCAAACAGG
rnacentral:rRNA from 1 species